CAGCAGCCGCGGUAAUACGGAGGGUGCAAGCGUUAUUCGGAUUUAUUGGGCGUAAAGAGAGUGUAGGCGGCCGGUCAAGCCAGAUGUGAAAGCCCAGGGCUUAACCCUGGAAGUGCAUUUGGAACUGGUUGGCUUGAGUUCGGGAGAGGGAAGUGGAAUUCCGGGUGUAGAGGUGAAAUUCGUAGAUAUCCGGAGGAACACCGGUGGCGAAGGCGACUUCCUGGACCGAAACUGACGCUGAGACUCGAAAGCGUGUGGAGCAAACAGGAUUAGAUACCCUGGUAGUCCACGCUGUAAACGAUGGGCGCUAGGUGUGGGGGGUUUUUAAUCCCUCCGUGCCGCAGCUAACGCAUUAAGCGCCCCGCCUGGGGAGUACGGCCGCAAGGUUAAAACUCAAAGGAAUUGACGG
rnacentral:rRNA from 1 species